rnacentral:rRNA from 1 species
GACGAACGCUGGCGGCGCGCUUAACACAUGCAAGUCGAGCGAGAACCUGGGCUUCGGCCCUGGGGACAGCGGCGAACGGGUGAGUAACACGUGGGUAAUCUGCCCUUGACAUCGGGAUAGCCCGGGGAAACCCGGAUUAAUACCGAAUAGCCUCCGGAGCCUUCGGGCGCCGGAGAAAAGGUAGCUUCGGCCUCUGGUCGAGGAGGAGCCCGCGGCGGAUUAGCUUGUUGGCGGGGUAACGGCCCACCAAGGCGACGAUCCGUAGCUGGUCUGAGAGGACGAUCAGCCACACUGGGACUGAGACACGGCCCAGACUCCUACGGGAGGCAGCAGUGGGGAAUCUUGCGCCAAUGCGGGAAACCGUGACGCAGCGACGCCGCGUGGGGGAAGAAGGCCUUCGGGUUGUAAACCUCUUUCAGGAGGGACGAAGCCACUCGGGUGAAUAGCCCAGAGGGUGACGGUACCUCCAGAAGAAGCCCCGGCUAACUACGUGCCAGCAGCCGCCGUAA